AGGGUUGGUUGAAGUGGGUUGGAAUUGUGGUUGGAGAGGGUGGGAGAUAGGUAGGGAGACAGGUUAGGAGACAGGCUGAGGUAUAAAGAGUGAAUGGGAGAAAGAGUUGGCUCUGGAAAAAACAACUUCCACUCUUAGUGUAUUGUGAAGGACAGAGUGUGGUGUCCUGUAGGAGGAAUAGACCGGAAUUUUACUGGGAGGCAGAGGUUGAGCCAGGAGAAGUAGGAGCUGGAAAGGAACAGCCUACUUGGGACUCAAGCCUAG